UGGCGAACGGGUGAGUAAUACAUCGGAACGUGUCGAGAAGAGGGGGAUAACCACCCGAAAGGGUGGCUAAUACCGCAUAAAUUCUGAGGAAGAAAGCUGGGGACCUGGGAAUAGGCCUAGCGCUUUUUGAGCGGCCGAUGUCGGAUUAGCUAGUUGGUGAGGUAAAGGCUCACCAAGGCGAAGAUCUGUAGCGGGUCUGAGAGGAUGAUCCGCCACACUGGGACUGAGACACGGCCCAG
rnacentral:rRNA from 1 species